rnacentral:tRNA from 1 species
GCCGAAGUGGUGGAAUUGGUAGACACGCUGUCUUGAGGGGGCAGUGGGGGUAACCCCGUCCGGGUUCGAGUCCCGGCUUCGGCACCA